GUGGAAGGAGAUGCCCUGAGCAUUUUUUUGGACGCCGUGAGCAUGGAAUGACCUUACUGCUCCAUCUCCAACAUAACUCCAGCUGCUAUUGCCAGUUUGGUCUUCUCUUCUACAUUGAUCCGUUUAGAUCCCAACUAAUCAAGAGAUAUGAGGACAGGGAGGAUGAAGGAGCCGCAGUUGUAAGUGCUACGGCGGGCGAGCAGGGAUGCAACUGGAGAUUGGUCAGAGACUGCAACAUAUUGUUAGCUUCAUGAGGUUGGGAGCAACUGGAUCUAGACCUCCCCGCAACUGACUAGAAAAGUGUUGACGAUGUUCUCUGAACUCUGAUCUCUCUCCCGUGUUUUCAGACAACAAUGAUCAGUAGUCCUUGGCACAAUUUUACUUCUCUGUUUGCAGUCUAAAAGCUUGGGAAAAAAAUGGGGGCCAUGAAUACCCGCAUUGCUCUCAUAUCAUGUCCAUGAAUGAAAAAGGGUACAUAGUGCCAUCAUUGUUCAUCCUCUCCCUUUGUUGCGAGCGUUGUCUGAAUCAACUUAAACUUAGCUGACAAAAAGGCUUCAUGUCUAGUUUUUCACCAGCCUUCA